rnacentral:pre_miRNA from 7 species
UUUAGGGGUUCCUGGGUGUCACACAGAUCUUGGUGGGACCUCCAAAUGAUAGAACCUAGUGGGGAAAUCCACACUAAAUUCCCGAUUCGGUGUGUGCCCAAAGAAUCAUGAAUAGAC